AUGGAAAACAGAGGAAGAAGAAACACAAAUUUCCUCGCUACUCCAGCUUUGUUAUCUUUAAAUUAUCAGUCUCCGGUCAGUGUCGUGUUUCUAUCGAAUUUCCGUGUAUCCCAGGCAGGACAGUAUAGUACCAGACUACCAGGCAAAUCUAUCAGUUUAAACCAGACAUUAGUUUCUUCCGGUGGAACCUUUGCAUUAGGUUUCUUCAGUCCUGAAAAUUCUAGAACACAGCGCUUAUCUUUCUUACUUUCAAUGCAAACUGCAAACCGCACCUUGAUUUCUUCCUCUGAAAUCUUUGCAUUAGGCUUCUUUAGUCCUGAGAAUUCUAGUAAACACUUCCUUGGUAUAUGGUACAUCACAUAUCCAAAGAGUACUACUCAAGUAGUUUGGGUGGCUAACAGAGAAUCCUCACUUCAUUCUCCCGGCGUUUGUAUGCUCAGUGGUGAUGGAAAUCUCGUAGUCUUGGAUGAGACUAGAAAAGUUAUCUGGUCAACUAAUGCAUCAAUAUCUGCUUCUGUAAUGAGUAACACAACUGCUUUACUCUCGGAUACCGGGAACCUUGUUUUGAGCUUUGGAAAUCAUACCUUAUGGGAAAGCUUCGAUUAUCCCACUGAUACUUGGGUGCCUAGCAUGAAGAUUGGCUUUAACAAAAGGACUGGCCAGCAAUGGCUUCUUACAUCCUGGGAAGCAUCUGAUGAUCCACAACCCGGAAAGUUCACAAGCGGCAUUGAUCCUAAAGUACCUUCACAGCUUCUUGCUUGGAAGGAAAAUGUUCCUUAUUGGAGAAGUGCUAUCUAUGGCGACAUUGGAGAUUCAACAGUAUAUACAGGUCCAGGUGGACAAUUCUUCCCUAUCGAUGAUAGAUCCUUCUUUUAUUUUGCUUACAGCAAUCAUGAUGAACAGGUUUUUCUCACUUUUGGUGUCGGAUAAAUCAGUAAAACUGAUAUGGGUUUUGAAGGCGUCUGGAAUGUCACUACUGCAGCUGUGGAAGGAAGACAAGAAAACAUGGAGUCCAGUAUGGGGAGAGCCUUUACAUACAUGUGAUUAUAUUGCUCGUUGCGGUCCAAAUGGUGCCUGUGACAAAUAUGAAUCUGUGUCACCCUGCAAGUGUUUAACAGGCUUUACACCCAAAGUUCUGGAACAAUGGGAUGUGGGGAAAUGGGAAGGUGGCUGUGUUAGAGAAAAGAAUUUGACAUGUGAUGAUCAUGAAGAAAGGCUCACAACGUUUGAAAAGUUGAAAUUACCUGAUCAUUCCAAUAUGUUGUACAAGAGAAGCAGGAGUGAGUGUGAAUCUGAAUGCCUUCGAAACUGCUCUUGCACAGCUUAUGCUUUUGUGAAUGUGUCACAAGAAACCUCUGGGAGAUGUUUCUCAUGGUUCGGUGACUCAAUGGAUCUUGUAGAGAAUCACACCGAUGGGCGAGAUCUCUACAUUCGUGUUCGUCAACAACAUUCCUAUCAAGUUGAUGAUUUUUUCAAGGGACCCCUUGGUAUUGCAUUAGUUUCAUCAGCAGCAGGAUUGCUUGCUCUACUUUUGGGCUGUUUUUUAUGGAAGAAAACUUUGGGAAGCUUUGGAGGAAGUAAGAAUAAAACUAUUGGUGAUUUAAGUACUGGAGGUGAAAAGAGUGAUACAGAACUACCAUUCUUCGACUUGAGGUGUGUAUUGGCUGCUACAAACAACUUCUCUGAAGCUAAUAAGCUAGGUGAAGGAGGAUUUGGCCCUGUUUAUAAGGGGAUUUUCCCUGAAAAUCAAGAAGUAGCCAUAAAAAGACUAUCGAAGAAGUCUGGGCAAGGGCAUGAGGAGUUCUUAAAUGAGAUAGAGCUUAUAGCCAAACUCCAACACAACAAUCUUGUAAGACUCUUGGGUUGUUGUGUUGAAGAGGAGGAAAUGAUAUUAAUCUACGAGUUCAUGCCCAAUCGAAGUUUGGACAAAUUUUUGUUUGAUCCAUCUGAACAGUCGAAAUUGGAUUGGGAUAAACGAUUAAGAAUCAUAGAAGGUAUUGCUCAAGGAGUACUUUAUAUCCACAAGUACUCUAGGCUAAAAAUCAUUCACCGGGAUUUAAAAGCAAGUAAUGUUCUGUUGGAUGAAGAAAUGAACCCUAAAGUUUCCGACUUUGGGAUGGCAAGGAUUUUUGGGGUGAAUCAAACUGAAGCAAAUACCAACAGGGUAGUUGGAACAUACGGUUACAUGCCACCUGAGUAUGAGCGUUAUGGCCAUUUCUCAGAGAAAUCGGAUGUAUUUAGCUUUGGAGUGCUGUUACUAUUGUUAGUGGCAGAAAGAAUGGUUCUAUUCAUUACUCAGAAGAUUCACCAACUCUCGCUCAAUGGGCCUGGAAAUUAUGGAAAGAAGGCAGAGGAAUCGAAGUGGUUGAUGCAUCAGUGAGAGAAACAAGCCAGUCUCAAGAAGCUUUAAGGUGUAUCAAAGUAAGCUUUUUGUGUGUUCAAGAAGCUCCCGCAGAUCGACCAACAAUGGCUACUGUUAUUCUUAUGUUGCAGAGCAACGAAGCUGAUACCCUUCCACCUUCUAAAGAACCUGCAUUUUCAACACACUCCAAGGAUUUUGGUUCUCCUUCUUCCCAAAUAUCUACCAAUUUGUCUAACAAUGCAUUCACCGUUAGCAUCCCAACAGGUCGAUAG